UCCGGCCCUAUCAGCCUGAAGGCGCCCGAUCUCGUCUGAUCUCGGAAGCUAAGCAGGGUCGGGCCUGGUUAGGAUCUUGGAUGGGAGACCACCUGGGAAUCCCGGGUGCUCGAGGCU
rnacentral:rRNA from 1 species